rnacentral:rRNA from 1 species
GACGAACGCUGACAGAAUGCUUAACACAUGCAAGUCAACUUGAACUUCGGUUUGGGUGGCGGACGGGUGAGUAACGCGUAAAGAACUUGCCUCACAGAUAGGGACAACAUUUGGAAACGAAUGCUAAUACCUGAUAUUAUGAUUAUAUGGCAUCGUAUAAUUAUGAAAGCUAUAUGCGCUGUGAGAGAGCUUUGCGUCCCAUUAGCUAGUUGGAGAGGUAACGGCUCACCAAGGCGAUGAUGGGUAGCCGGCCUGAGAGGGUGAUCGGCCACAAGGGGACUGAGACACGGCCCUUACCCCUACGGGAGGCAGCAGUGGGGAAUAUUGGACAAUGGACCAAGAGUCUGAUCCAGCAAUUCUGUGUGCACGAUGAAGUUUUUCGGAAUGUAAAGUGCUUUCAGUUGGGAAGAAAAAAAUGACGGUACCAACAGAAGAAGUGACGGCUAAAUACGUG